UGCAGUGGAACUGGCUUUGAGGUCCAGAGUUGAGUUUGAGGGCUCUAGUGCAUACAGACAAUAUUGUCGGAGGAGGAGGAGAUAGAGUUCAGAAUGAGUGACACACGCAGUGUUUGAUUUGAUUUUAGCUCCCGGUGAUGGGCAGGACUCACAGGAGAUUUGAACAGAGAUGCAGAGAAGCAUUGGCCUAUUUACACCAGUCAGGUGGAUACAGACAGCUCAAGAGGUCUCCAUCUGAGUUCACCCGCCGACGUUCCUCUGCACUGCCAAGCACAACUUUUCUCAGCUGGCACAAUUUGAUUGGCUGCUGUCCGAUACAAACUGUAUUCCAUUAAAUGAAGAGUUGAUGCGCUGCACACUGUUUUUAAUAGCAUCAUUUUUAAUAUUUGGGCUUGGGGAGGGUAUCAAGUCAGGUUGAGUCAUAAGGCUCAAGUCCAAGUCAAGUCACGAGUCAUUGGUGUUAAAGUCGAGUCAUAUUUGUGACUCGAGUCUGACUUGAGUCCAAGUCAUGUUGUCUAGCCCUGACCUUAGAGCUUUUUAUGUCUCUAUUUUGGUUUGGUCAGGGUGUGAUUUGGGGUGGGCAUUCUGUUCUUUUAUCUAUGUUUUGUAUUUCUUUGUUUUGGCCGGGUAUGGUUCUCAAUCAGGGACAGCUGACUAUCGUUGUCUCUGAUUGGGAACCAUACUUAGGUAGCUUUUUCCCACCUAUGUUUUGUGGGUAGUUGUUUUCUGUUUAGUGUUCUGCACCUGAACAGGACUGUUUCAGUUUGGUUUUGCACUUUGUUCUUUUUGUUUCAGUGUUCAGUUUAAUAAAAGUCAUGAACACUUACCACGCUACGCUUUGGUUCGAUUCUUCCUCAUCAGACGACGACGACCACACCUCUGCUAGGUAGGAUCAUUGUAUUGUCCCUAAACAAGAUCAAUUGGGGAGAUUUUUGAGCUGUGCAUCUCAUGUCUUCACGGUUCUUUCUUGCACAAUGAUCCACCGGCCCUCUCCACUGCCUAUCAGCUAUUUCUAUUGUUCUUGUCGAUUCAUAGAAAACAUGUAUGCAGAUUUGAAUGUUUUAAUGUAUGGUAUGAAUGCUGGAUGGAAGACAUUAUAUUGUCAAAUCUGCAAAAGAGCAACGAGGGUAGAA